CAUUUUCAAGUUUCAAGCGUCUUCUCUCCCAAUCGUCGUUCCUCGUUGCCCCCAAGAUCCCAUUCUCCUCCAUUCUCCUCUUCUUCUCUCUUCCGUGAGAUCGAAAGGAGAAGAGAAGAACGGGAUCUUGGAGUUUUUAGGAAUUAGGGUUUCGAUCUACCAGAGAGAUGCGCCCUAACUUGUGCCGCAGCUGCCUCGCAGCUCUUCUCAAAAUCCUGAAUUUUUUCCAGGCGUUUACAGGAUUCUCCAUCCUUAUCUAUUCGUUAUGGGUUUUGAAUCGUUGCUUCAGGGAUGGAAUCGAGAUUGGCUUUGAUUUCCACAAGCUCCCGGCUCCAUGGUUUGUGUGCGCUUUGAUGGGAUUUGGCGUUUUGAUGUGUUUGAUCGCUUUCAUUGGACAUGUUGCAGCUGAAGUAAUUAGUGGUUGCUGCCUCUGUUUCUAUGCUGCAUUGGUAACCAUACUUAUUUUAUUCGAAACUGGUUUGGUGGCUGACC